AGCGUUGUUCGGAAUUACUGGGCGUAAAGCGCACGUAGGCGGCUUUGUAAGUUAGAGGUGAAAGCCCGGGGCUCAACCCCGGAAUUGCCUUUAAGACUGCAUCGCUUGAAUCCAGGAGAGGUGAGUGGAAUUCCGAGUGUAGAGGUGAAAUUCGUAGAUAUUCGGAAGAACACCAGUGGCGAAGGCGGCUCACUGGACUGGUAUUGACGCUGAGGCACGAAAGCUAGGGUAGCAAACGGG
rnacentral:rRNA from 1 species